rnacentral:rRNA from 1 species
GGGCUAGCGUUGUUCGGAAUUACUGGGCGUAAAGCGCACGUAGGCGGCUUUGUAAGUUAGAGGUGAAAGCCCGGGCUCAACCCCGGAAUUGCCUUUAAGACUGCAUCGCUAGAAUUGUGGAGAGGUAAGUGGAAUUCCGAGUGUAGAGGUGAAAUUCGUAGAUAUUCGGAAGAACACCAGUGGCGAAGGCGACUUACUGGACACAUAUUGACGCUGAGGUGCGAAAGCGUGGGGAGCAAACAGG